UAAUAUUGCUAAGUGGGAAACUUGUUUUAUUAAAAAAAUAAAAAUAAAACACAACACACACACUUAGUGUGUGUGUGUGUGUGCGUGUAAACGUCCAGGAGAAACAAGGGACAAGGCAAAACCCUUGUUCAAGCUCAAAUCCAACAAAUUGAAGGGUGAAUUAGGGUCAAAUCAAGUGCAUGAACACAAAUUCUUGAUCACCUAAGCAUGAGGAUCUUAAGUUUGACUCUAAACAAGCUAGUUGGGAGCUUGGAAAGGAACGGGUCAAACAGAUCUUGGAUGCGAAGAAUGUUUGCGCGGACGCGAGGUGAGUAUGGCAAGCAUCCGGACGACGAUCAAGCAAUCUAGUGAACCGAACACAUGUCAAAUGAAGCUUCCGCAAUAAUUUUAUUUGGUUUUUGUUUUAAGUGAUCAAUGUAAACACUUGGAACUAUAUUUUGUUUACU